rnacentral:SRP_RNA from 1 species
GGGUAAGUCUCCUACGAUCUGCUCCCUUUUAACUCCCCCAGGACAGGAAUGUAGCAAGGGUACAUCGGUUGUAGCGAUGCGAUAGAAGUAGCUUACCCUU